CUGGCUAUCUACACUAUCCUAAGCAGCACAGACUUAUCUUCCUUUUCAUGCAUAUUUCAAUUUAAAAAUAUGCAGUGAUUUAGCUUCAACUUACUGUUAACUUCUCAGCAGGUAUUUCAGAGUAGUUAAACCUUCUUAUCAAGGUUAUUCUGGUUACUAUCAUCGGGUGGCAGACCAUGAAGGAAGUAAAGCUUUUUGAAGCUUCUUGGGUGCCAUGGACUAUCACAAACCCUGCAUGAGAAUUGGAACAAGGCAGCUUGAGACUCUGACUUCAAUUCUAGGAGAGAAAAGCCUUAAGCAACAGAAAUUUAUUUUCCUACAGUUUUGAAGGCUGGAAGUCCCAGAUCAAGGUGCCAGCCAAUUUGAUUCCUGGCCAUCAAGUUCUGGAUGAUCCUCAGUGAGGGAUACCAUCCUCUCAAUAUUGAAGAGGCACCCUUCUACAAGGGACCCCUAGACUGCCCAUCAGUGUGACAGGAAGGAGGCAAAAUCCUGCCCCUGACUCCCUUGAACCUGGUUAGAUACUGCUUUUACCAACCCAUAGAGUCAACCUCCUGCCCUGAGAGCUAGCAAGAGGCCAAGACCCACAGAACCACCACUGUUCCUCUGUCAGCAGGAAGCAGUUACAGAAGAUUGACCUUCAUCCAUUUUUCCCCCAAAGAUUUGGGGUCUUGGGCUCUUGAGGGGGGAAUGUUACAUGUAGACAGGCAUGAGUGGGGCAGGAGAGGUCUCCCCACUAAUCAGGAAUGUCAGGCAUCAGGUGAUGUUUCAACAAUGAUCACGUUGCCUCUCUAAAAAUGAUAAUUCAGCAGCUGGUGCCAGGGAGAGACAAUCUCCUGUUGAUCCACAGCUGUUAACAUUAAAGUGUUAAUUGAAUGCAGGCGCAUGGGAGAAGCAAAAAUGACUUCCAAAAAAAUCUCAGGUAUUGGGCAAGUAAGCAUUAUGACAAAAUGGUGGAGUAUGACCUUCCAGGGGCACUCCACCAGAAAAGGGAAGAAAGCCUCAGAUGGGCAUGAAUACAACUUACUAAACCCACUGCGUGUGCUGACUUCUCAAGGGCAAGGAGGCAACUGCACAUGUGGGCAGCCCAGCCUAAGGGAAGAAUCACCAGGAAAAGGUACAAGACGCCAGAGGUGGGCCAGCCUAUAAAGUCCUAGGAACAGAGUCAAACGGGACACUUGUACUUUAAGUCACCCACUUGGAUCUCUUCCGAGUACACUUUCUUGUCUCUCCUUCUCUAAAGCUUUUUAAUAAACUUCCACUCCUGC
rnacentral:lncRNA from 10 species